UACGUAGGUGGCAAGCGUUGUCCGGAUUUAUUGGGCGUAAAGCGAGCGCAGGCGGUUUCUUAAGUCUGAUGUGAAAGCCCUCGGCUCAACCGAGGAAGGUCAUUGGAAACUGGGGAACUUGAAUGCAGAAGAGGAGAGUGGAAUUCCAUGUGUAGCGGUGAAAUGCGUAGAUAUAUGGAGGAACACCAGUGGCGAAGGCGACUCUCUGGUCUGUAAUUGACGCUGAGGCUCGAAAGCGUGGGGAGCAAAC
rnacentral:rRNA from 1 species